rnacentral:rRNA from 1 species
UACGGAAGGCAGCAGUGGGGAAUAUUGCACAAUGGGCGCAAGCCUGAUGCAGCCAUGCCGCGUGUAUGAAGAAGGCCUUCGGGUUGUAAAGUACUUUCAGUCGUGAGGAAGGUGUUAAGGUUAAUAACCUUAGCAAUUGACGUUAGCGACAGAAGAAGCACCGGCUAACUCCGUGCCAGCAGCCGCGGUAAUACGGAGGGUGCGAGCGUUAAUCGGAAUUACUGGGCGUAAAGGGCACGCAGGCGGUUAAUUAAGUUGGAUGUGAAAUCCCCGGGCUUAACCUGGGAAUGGCAUUCAAGACUGGUUAGCUAGAGUCUUGUAGAGGGGGUAGAAUUCCAUGUGUAGCGGUGAAAUGCGUAGAGAUGUGGAGGAAUACCGGUGGCGAAGGCGGCCCCUGGACAAAGGCUGACGCUCAUGUGCGAAAGCGUGGGGAGCAAACGAGGGAUUAGAUACC